rnacentral:tRNA from 1 species
GAGGGUAUAGCUCAAGUGGUAGAGCGUGUGCUUAGCAUGAACAAGGUCCUGGGUUCAAUCCCCAGUCCAGUCC